rnacentral:rRNA from 1 species
UUGGCGGGGCGCCUUAUGCAUGCAAGUCGAACGGGGUUACGAUUUUCGGAUUGUAAUCUAGUGGCGAACGGCUGAGUAACACGUAAGUAACCUGUCUUUGAGUGGGAAAUAACCUGCCGAAAGGCAAGCUAAUGUCCCAUGUGGUGACCAAGCCCAAGUUUGGUCAUUAAAGCCUUCGGGUGCUCGAAGAGGGGCUUGCGUCCGAUUAGUUUGUUGGUGGGGUAAUGGCCUACCAAGGCGAUGAUCGGUAGCUGGUCUGAGAGGAUGGCCAGCCAGAUGGGGACUGAGACACGGCCCCAACUCCUACGGGAGGCAGCAGCAAGGAAUUUUGGGCAAUGAGCGAAAGCUUGACCCAGCGACACCGCGUGAGGGAGGAAGGCCUUCGGGUCGUAAACCUCUUUUCUUGGGGAAGAAUUAUGACGGUACCCAAGGAAUAAGCCUCGGCCAACUACGUGCCAGCAGCCGCGGUAAUACGUAGGAGGCGAACGUUAUUCGGAUUUACUGGGCGUAAAGGGAGCGUAGGCGGUUGCUUAAGUCAGAUGUGAAAUCUUUUGACUCAAUCAGAAGGGGCCAUCUGAUACUGGGCGACUUGAGAGCAGCAGAGGGAAAUGGAAUCCCCAGUGUAGCGGUGAAAUGCGUAGAUAUUGGGGAGAACACCAGUGGCGAAGGCGAUUUUCCAGGCUGUUUCUGACGCUGAGGCUCGAGAGCGUGGGGAGCGAAGCGGAUUAGAUACCCGCGUAGUCCACGCCCUAAACGGUGGACACUAGAUAUAGGAGGCAUCG